CCUACGGGGGGCAGCAGUGGGGAAUAUUGCGCAAUGGGUGAAAGCCUGACGCAGCGACGCCGCGUGAGGGAUGAAGGCCUUCGGAUCGUAAACCUCUGUCAGCAGGGAAGAACGGUCACUGUGCUAAUCAGCAGUGAAUUGACGGUACCUGCAAAGGAAGCCCCGGCUAACUCCGUGCCAGCAGCCGCGGUAAUACGGAGGGUGCGAGCGUUAAUCGGAUUUACUGGGCGUAAAGCGCUCGUAGGCGGUAUGUCAAGUCAAGGGUGAAAUCCCGGCGCUCAACGUGGGAACUGCCUUUGAAACUGGAUGACUAGAGUGUGGGAGAGGCUGGUGGAAUUCCAGGUGUAGGGGUGAAAUGCGUAGAUAUUUGGAGGAACAUCAGUGGCGAAGGCGGCUAGCUGGCUCAUAACUGACGCUGAGGAGCGAAAGCGUGGGUAGCAAACAGGAUUAGAUACCCGGGUAGUC
rnacentral:rRNA from 1 species